ACCACAGAGUUGGCUUAAAAUUGUAUCACCUCAUUUUCAAAAAUUUUAUUAACUUAAAUAUGCAUUCCAAAAAUUAUAUAAUGAGCACAUGACUCUUGCCUUAUGACAUUUUUACAGAAAUGGGAAAGAAAGAUAACAUAUAAAUAAUAAAGCCUCAUAAAAUGGCCUUUAAAUAUUGGUUGUUUCCACUACAGUUUUUCUUCAUUGGUUAGGUCAUUUAACUUCUCUUUCUACAAAAUCUGACAAUGACUGCAAGACCCAAAAAUCUGUUUUCUGUUUCCAGCCUACUCUUCCCUACAUCUUUCCCAUCAUUCGUUUCAACUUUUUUAUUGCAGCAAAUACACAUAACAUUUACCAUCGUAACCAUUUUAAAGUGUACAGUUCAGUGGUGUUAAGUACGUUCAUAGGCACAACCAUCAGCAUUAUCCAUCUACAGAACUCUUUCCAUCUUGCAAAACUGAAACUCUAUACCCACUAAACAUUAACUCCCUAUUACCACCAUUCUCUUUUCUGUCUCUAUGAUUUUGCCUAAUCUAAGUACCUCAUAUAAGUGGAAUCAUAAAGAAUUUAUCUUUUGUGAUUUUUCACAUAUAGGAUUCUUGGUUGACAGUUUUUUCUUUUAACGCUUUAAAUACACCAGCCCAUUGCCUUCUGGCUUCCAAAGUUUCUGAUGAGAAAUCUUCUGGUAAUCUUAUUGAGGAUCUUUUGUAUGUGAUGAAUUGCUUCUUUCUUGCUGAUUUCAAGAUUCUCUGUGUUUGGCUUUCGACAGUUUGAGUAUAAUGUGUCUUGGUCUGGGUCUUUUUUAGUUCAUCCUACUUGGAGUUUGUUGAGCUUCUUGUAUGGUUAUGUCUUCCAUCAAGUUUUCAGCCAUCACAUUAUUUCUUCAAAUAUUCUCUCUGCCCCCUUCUCUCUCUCUUCUCCUUCUGGCACUCCCACAAUGCAUGUGUUGGUCUGCUUGCUGGUGUCCCACAUAGCCCUUAGGCUCUGUUCACUUUUCUUCAAUCCUUUUUCUUUCUUCAGACUCAACAAUUUCAAUAGUCUUAUCCUCAAGUUCAUGGAUUAUUUCUUCUGCCUUUGAAUCCUUCUAGUGAACUUUACAUUUCAACUAUUAUACUUUUCAACUGUAGAAUUUCCUUUUGGUUUCUUUUUAGGUUUUCUCUCUUCAUUGAUAUUUCCAUUUUGUUCAUAGAUCAUUUUCUUGACUUUCUCCACAUCUUCCUUUAGUUCUACGAGCAUCUUGAAGGCAGUUGUUUUAAAAUUUUUGUCUAGUAGAAGAACCAUCAGGUCUUUCUCAGGGACGGUUUCUGUUGGUUUCUUUUCUUUCCUUUGAAUGGGCCAUAUUUCCCUUUUUCUUUAUAUGCUUUGUGAUUUUUUUUUUUUUACUGUGGUUAAAAACUGGACAUUUCAAUCUAGUAAUAUGGUAACUCUGGAAAUCAGAUUAUCUCUCUUGCCCAAGGUUUGCUGUUGGUUUUUGUUUUUAUUGUUCGAGGCUGUCUCUAUGCCAAGGGUCAGGCUGAGUUGUAAAAUUAAGGUCUUUUCUGAGCCUGUGCUUUCCCUGGGCAUGUGGAGUGACUUUCUAAUUUCCCUCAUAUCUG
rnacentral:lncRNA from 1 species